rnacentral:lncRNA from 1 species
CUUUAGAGUGGUUGUGUUGGAAAAGCAAGUGUGUUGAAAUGUGGCAAUAGAAUUUGCAGCAUUAAAUAUGGCUAAUUUCUCUUAUAUGACUACAGGUGGCAGUGUAGAAGCCAAGAACAAAAACUGGCAGAAAUUAUAUUCUGUGUACGAGAGAAUGAGGAGUAUACUCAUGACUAAGCACAGGAACCUGGAAAACUACAGGUAUGUGAAGUGAUUCAUACAACUGCCUACGGUGCUCCCAGUAUUCCUGGCACAAUAGAUAUUCUUGGAUAAUUAGCUCUUACUGUGAAUACAUUAAUUGAUAAGGAAAAAUCUAUACCUUAUUACUGAAAUGAAAAAAAUAAAAUACUCUGAAUGCAGUAAGCAGUGGGAGGUGGAAUUUUCAGACUUCUUAUGGUGUAUGUUAACUAUGAAGAAUCAGAGCGUGAUUAAGUUGCAUGAAGAUUGAGUUAAUUUCCAUCUAAAUACCUGGAUUUUGUGAAGUUAAGUGCAGUUACAGCCCUGAAUAUGUUUGAAAUGGAGAAAUGUCAAAUAUUAUAGGUGUGGAAACUUUCCUGUAGUAUCUUCUUAUGAGCGCUGAAUAGAAAGCAUGAGGAAAACUAGAGAUGUAAAUAAAGAUGUCAUUUCAAAUACUCAUCUGGGUGUGAUGUUUUAUAGUGCUUACUUCUGUUGGGAGGCGGGAGGGAAAGGCAGUACAUAAGAGCCCAUGAUUAGCUCUCAUGCUUCAAAGAAAAGAGAAAUACUAGGCUACCUGAGUAAUUGAUCUCUCAUUAAUUAGGAAUAUUAGAGUACAGCAAAUCUUUCCUUGUACACUUACAUCAUUGUGCACAGCCUGUAGAAAUUAGUCCGUGGGUCUGCAUUCCAGGAUUCCUAGGAAGCCGUGGAGGAUGGGGUGAACUCAGAGCUGGAGCUUGAGGAUUUUUGGAACACAUGAAUGGGAAGUUAUCCUGAUAAGAGAACGCACCGGCCAAGCACACCUCUCAAGUGGUAUUUAUCCCAGUGUUAUCUCAGGAAGUGGAUGCUUCUGUGCAUCUUUUAUUGCAUGAAAUCAGCUCUUUGGAAGCUGCUUCAGUUGGAUUUUUCUGUUCAAAGUCCUUUGAGAAGACUGAGAAUGCUGCAUCGUUUGGAAUUGUGAAACAUCUUCAUGCGCAUCAAACCUUAUUUAUUUUCUUUUAAAUGUCAGCUAGGCUUGAUAUUUUUCUUUUCUUUUUUUCUUUUUUUUUUUCCUCUCCUUUUUUUGUUUUGGGGGAUGGUGUCUCUGCAGUUAUUCUCUAAUGCAUUACAAAUAGUUGAUUGUAUUUGUUAGUUUUCAUCUGGAUGUUUCUUGCUGUUCCUGAUAGUUGAAGAUGUUGUGCACUCUAUAAUAAAAAUAAUAAUAAUUCUGAAGUCA